rnacentral:rRNA from 1 species
AUAUUGGACAAUGGGGGCAACCCUGAUCCAGCCAUGGCGUGUGUGUGAAGAAGGUCAUCGGAUUGUAAAGCACUUUAAGUUGGGAGGAAGGGCUUUAGGUUAAUACCCUGAAGUAUUGACGUUACCAAAAGAAUAAGCACCGGCUAACACUGUGCCAGCAGCCGCGGUAAUACAGAGGGGGCAAGCGUUAAGCGGAACUACUGGGCGUAAAGCGCGCGUAGGUGGUUCAGUAAGAUGGGUGUGAAAUCCCCGGGCUUAACCCGGGAACUGCUUUCAUAACUGCUGAGCUAGAGUACGGUAGAGGGUAGUGGAAUUUCCUGUGUAGCGGUGAAAUGCGUAGAUAUAGGAAGGAACACCAGUGGCGAAGGCGACUACCUGGACUGAUACUGACACUGAGGUGCGAAAGCGUGGGGAGCAAAC